CAAACAUAGCCCCAGAAAACAUCUGAGGUGUAACCUGCCCAGUGAUUUUUAAAUAUAAUAAAGAAAAAUUAUGAAAUAAAAUUAAAAGGACGCGGUAACCUUGACCGUGAUAAUGUAGCAUAAUCAUUCGCCAUUUAAUUGAUGGAUAGUAUGAAUGGUUGAACGAAUAUUUCACUGUCUUAAAAAGAAAUACCAAAAAAUUGGAAUAAUAGUAAAGAUACUAUUUAAGAUUGUAAGACGAAAAGACCCUAUAGAGCUUAACUAUAUUCUAUUUAAAUUAAAAGAACAAAAGUUCAAAAACAAAUAGAAUGGUAGUUUAGUUGGGGCGACUAUCUUUUAAAAAAAACAAAGAUAAGCAAAGUCAAUAAAAAAAACUUAUUGUAUAAUCCAUAGAUUUAACAAUUAUAAAAAUAGGCUAUAAUGACCCGUUGUAAUUUUAUAAAAGAAAUAACGAUCAAUAAAUAAAAGCUACCUUAGGGAUAACAGGAUAAUUUUAUUUUAGAGAUCUUAUCGAAAAUAAAGUUUGUCACCUCUAUGUUGAAUUAAGAUAUCCUGGUAAUGCAGAAGUUACCAAAGGUGGGUCUGUUCGACCCUUAAAAUCUUACAUGAUUUG
rnacentral:rRNA from 1 species